UACGUAGGGAGCAAGCGUUGUCCGGAAUCAUUGGGCGUAAAGCGCGCGUAGGUGGCUUCGUAAGUCCGUUGUGAAAGUCAAAGGCUCAACCUUUGAAAGCCGAUGGAUACUGCGGAGCUAGAGUACGGAAGAGGCGAGUGGAAUUCCUGGUGUAGCGGUGGAAUGCGCAGAUAUCAGGAGGAACACCAGUGACGAAGGCGGCGAUCUGGGAAGAUACUGACGCUGAGGUGCGAAAGCGUGGGGAGCAAACAGG
rnacentral:rRNA from 1 species